rnacentral:lncRNA from 1 species
UGGGUAGGCUAAUUGUAUUUAUUAUAUUUUUCAAUGUUUGAUUGAUGCUCUUUAUUUAUUUAAAAACCUUCACCUUUCAUCUUAGAAUCAAUACUUUGUAUUGGUUUCAAGGCAGAAGAGCAGUAAGGACUAGGCAAUGGGAAUUAAGUGACUUGUCCAGGGUCACAAAGCUAGGAAGUGUCUGAGGUCAAAUUUGAAUUCAGGACUUCCUGUCUCUAUCUAGACCUGACUCUCAAUCCACUGAGCCAUCUAGCUGUCCCCUAUUUAAACAAAACAAAACAAAACAAAAAUUAUUGACACUUUCCACAGACUGUCGCAUCAUUAAUAUAAAUAUCCUUUAUUUUCUAUCAGUUGCUCUGCUUCCUUUGGGCUACACAAACAUGCCUCUUUCAGGAUGUGCUCAUCACCUGAAGCUUCCUCAUUAUGUAGAUUGACUCAGCUUUGAUAUGCCACACCUGGUCCUUUGCCUCUUCCUCUCUGAUUGGAAGAUUAGAGAACAGACCAAUAAAUUUCUCCCAAAGUCUUUAUAGAAGGCUCAGAAUUUUCCAAGUAACCCUUGAUUUUCUAUUAAGAACUCUGCUUGGCUUUGACUCCAUGAACAUCAUACUCAGGUGCUGUCUACCCUCAAUGUCCCCUCUCUCCUUUAGUUUUCUUUUUAUUAUUGCCUUCCCUCCUUAUUGUAUGAGGCCACUGAGGGCAAGGACUAUCUUUUCCUUAUUUCUAUUCCUAGCAUGGUGCCUGAUAUUAUGCUUAUUGAUGCCUGCCUGACUUUAACCUCCCACCUCAUCCUUUGUGACAAAGUGCAUUUAGACAGAAGUCAGUGUCUUGGUCAUGAUUCACCAUAUGCAUGAAGGACAGUCAUCAAGAAGGGGUCCAGGGAAGAAAAGAAAAGAAGGAACAAGUGGAGAUAGGAACCAUCUUCUGAGCUGGGAGUCAUCUCAGAGUCAUGGAGGCAGCUGGGACUGUGAGAAAACUUCACCAAUGGUUAAAAGACUGAGAAUAACAUUAGGUGAUCUGAGCCCAAGAAGCAAAACUGCUUUCACUAAUAUUUCUCAUUUUCCUGUCCCGAGUUUGUAUAGACUUGCUCUACUGGAUUAAUAAAGGCUUGGAAAAGAUCAAGUUCUAAACUACUCUGGGGGAAAGAAGAAUGAAGUUAGGUUCUUUGGAUUGUAGGCUGGGUUUAUUUUUUUCCAUUUUACAGUUUAAUUCUUUUAUGAAUGAAUCCUUUUAAGUGUAAUGUCCUUGGGAGAUUUGGUUUGCUGGCAGAGAAGUCAAUUGAAUAUAUUGGAGGCAAAUGAGCUAGCGAAAUCUUCUAGUUUUAAAUUAAAGGUUGAUGCAAAAAGAGCAAAAAACACUAUUGAUUACUUUGAAUACUUAAAAAAAUCCCAGCUGUUACCUUUUGUCUUAGAAUCAAUACUUUGUAUUGGUUCCAAGGCAGAGAGUGUUAAGGGCUAGGUAGCACAUCCAAUAGAUAAGAGAUCCAAGCCUAGAGUCAGGAAGACCUAAGUUCAUACCUAACCUUGAAUAUUUACUAGCUUUGUAACACUGGGCAAGUCACUUAGUCUUUGCUCCAGCUUCCUCAUCUGUAAAAUGGGAAUAUUAAUAGUAUCUACCUCCCAAGGUUGUUUUGAGGAUGAAAUGAGAUUAUAAUUGUAAAGACAGCACAAUGUUUGGCACAUGCUGGCUCCCUUCUUUCUCUCUUACCUCUCUUUCCUCUCCUUCUCCCUUCCUUCCCUUCUCUCUCUUUUUUUUCCUCCUCCUUUUCCUUCUCCUCCUUCUGAAACUAUUUAGUGAAUUGACUGAGCAAGCACAUUGGUCUCUUCAGACAAAUCCCAUUUUCUCUCAUUGGAUUAACUUUUUGUAUUUUUGGAAUUUAAUCCUUGAGUACCUCCCAUCCCUCUUGGCCUGACUUUCUGAAGCAUUUUACUUUAUAGGGUUCUACCUAUUUUUCCUUUUAACUCUUUGAAAUCUUUCUUUUCCAUAUUUAAUGUGCAUGUCAAGUACUAUCAUAUUUGCUCUCCUUUAAAAGAAGUUCUAAGUUAGUGUGAUCACUUUUUCUAAGGUGACACAUUUAUGUUGUGACUACAAUCUCCUUCCUGUUAUUGAGAACUAAAUCUUGACUAAAUUUCCUUUGUUGAAUCCAUCAUCUUUUGAAGGAUGCAAUUGUAACUAAAACAAGUUCAGAAAUCAUGACUUUUGGCAGAGAUAGAGUUGUAACAGAUAUUUGGGUAAUUGAAACCACCCAUCAUUAUCUAUCAUACUUCUGUGACAGACUUGCGAUGUUUCCCCAAUUUUUCAACUAUUUCCUCUCUCCCUCUAGGUGGUCUAUAAAUAAUGGUCAUUUAAUUAAAAACAUAAAUUUUCUAUUAAUAAAAUUUGUGGUAAGUCUUCA